rnacentral:rRNA from 1 species
UACGGUAGGGGCAAGCGUUGUCCGGAAUCAUUGGCGUAAAGCGCGUGUAGGCGGCUCAGUAAGUCCGCAUCCUGAAAGCCCGGGCUUAACCCCGGAGGCGGGUGAUACUGCUGAGCUCGAGUCCGAAGAGGCGAGUGGAAUUCCCGGUGUAGCGGUGAAAUGCGCAGAUAUCGGAGGAACACCAAUGGCGAAGGCAGCUCGCUGGACGU